rnacentral:tRNA from 1 species
AGCUCAAUUGGUUAGAGCAGAGCGCUCAUAACGCUUUGGUUGGGGGUUCGAGUCCCUCC